rnacentral:rRNA from 1 species
GAAACUCGCCUACAUGAAGCUGGAGUUGCUAGUAAUCGCGAAUCAGCAUGUCGCGGUGAAUACGUUCCCGGGCCUUGUACACACCGCCCGUCACACCAUGGGAGCCGGAAACGCCCGAAGCCAGCGGCCCAACCGCAAGGGGGGAGCUGUCGAAGGCGGGUCCGGUGACCGGAGUGAAGUCGUAACAAGGUAGC